ACUUCUUUGCCGCCGGGUAAAGAAUUUAAGCGUCAGAAUUUCUGUCAUUAGGCCUUUGAAGACAGGAAUCCUGGCGCUUUUUAUAU
rnacentral:ncRNA from 1 species